UCCAGACUCCUACGGGAGGCAGCAGUGAGGAAUAUUGGUCAAUGGCCGAGAGGCUGAACCAGCCAAGUCGCGUGAGGGAAGACGGCCCUACGGGUUGUAAACCUCUUUUGUCGGGGAGCAAAGCGAACCACAUGUGGUUCAUUGAGAGUACCCGAAGAAAAAGCAUCGGCUAACUCCGUGCCAGCAGCCGCGGUAAUACGGAGGAUGCGAGCGUUAUCCGGAUUUAUUGGGUUUAAAGGGUGCGCAGGCGGAGGUGUAAGUCAGCGGUCAAAUUGCGGGGCUCAACCCCGUACUGCCGUUGAAACUGCAUCCCUUGAGUGAGUGAGAAGUAAGCGGAAUGCGUGGUGUAGCGGUGAAAUGCAUAGAUAUCACGCAGAACGCCGAUUGCGAAGGCAGCAUACCGGCUCCACACUGACGCUGAGGCACGAAAGCGUGGGUAUCGAACAGGAUUAGAUACCCUUGUA
rnacentral:rRNA from 1 species